rnacentral:lncRNA from 1 species
UUAUAUUGAACUUCGGUAUAGAGUCUUAGACUCGAUAAGUGCCCGAUAAGGUCGUCGGUACACCGACAUGUUUCAGAAAUUGAUCUGAACUUAGAUAAUUUGAUUGGAUAAGUGUUUGUUUGUGAUUCAAUGACUGCUAAACAUAUAUGACAAUGUGAUUAGGUUAUGUGCUGACUGCAAUAGCAGUACUAUGUGUUAUGAUAUGUAAUUCUAAUCGAUAGAAUGAUCUUACUAAUGAUAGGUCUCGACAUAAAAGAUAAAACUAAGUUGCAUAAUUGUAAGCAGCAGACCAGGCAAGUAUCCUACCUUUGCAUUUACUUUAUGCAAUGGACAUGAGUAAGAAAGUUUCAAAAUUAUAUUAUUAUUGUGCCAGAUUAUUAACCCUAUUGUUAUAUAUAUUAUAUCCGAUCAUUGUUUAUCAACAUAGUAUUAUAUUAUAAUUCAAAUAUUUAUUUUGUUCGUUAAUUUCUAUAUAUGGUUAUACAAGUAUCCUCACUUGGAUAAUUAUUGUAUUUAAUCACAUGUUGAUACACAUUUAUAAAUUUCCAGUAUGUAUAUGUUAACUUAAAAGCUGUUUAAGCUAAUUGAUUUGGCUAGACACAAACUUCUAGAUUAUUGUUGAACAAGAUAAAACCUUACUAUUAUCCAACCGAAUUAUUUUGGUUUCGAAUCCCGACUAAGUAUGAACAUCCCAUACAUGGGAAAACUUUUUGUGCGCCAAAGGCGGAUAGAUGAACGAUAAUAUCGUUCUUGCAUGUAGUAUUGAUCAAUACAGGGCAUAACGGGCUGAUCACCCCCCGUGCCCGUAAGUUAUGACAGUUUGCAGAUGAAGUUCUGUUUAACCUUUUUGAAAACAGAAAACAAUGUUCAUAGUCUGUCGACUAAUCCCCAGUUAUAGUCACUACGUAGUUUCAAAAAUUUGAUAUAGAAUUAAUAUAUUAUUAUUAUUGGUUCAGUUUACUUCACAACCAUUGAUUCAUUGUAGAAGUGUCGUACAAAGAAAACAUUUAAUCCUUUCAGCUAAUAUUUAUAAUUGCUAUUACUUGCUCGGCACCCAAAUGCUCAUCCUUGCUUAAUUUAAAUGUUUUCAGCUAAGUGUGAACAACCUGAA